rnacentral:rRNA from 1 species
UAGUUAUAAACUUUGAUUUAUCCGCCAGAAUACUACGAGCAACAGCUUAAAACUCAAAGGACUUGGCGGUGCUCUACACCCCCCUAGAGGAGCCUGUUCUAUAAUCGAUAAUCCACGAUAAACCUCACCAUUUAUUGCCAAUACAGCCUAUAUACCACCGUCCAGCCCACCCUUCAAAGGGCCAACAGUAGGCAUAAUGAUAGACAUAAAAACGUCAGGUCAAGGUGUAGCAUAUAAAAUGGGAAGAAAUGGGCUACAUUUUCUAAUUUAGAAAAUGACGGAAAAGCUUGUGAAACAAAACUAUAAAGGAGGAUUUAGCAGUAAAAAGAAAAAAGAAUGUUCUUUUUAAACCG